rnacentral:lncRNA from 1 species
CUUGUCCAACAGAACAUUGCUUGACUUGAUAUCCCGAUGAAUGAUAUGUGGUGUCGCUUGGUGAUGAAGAUAUCUGCAUGGUAGAGAGAGAUUUCAGAUGUAAGAUUACUUCUGCAUGUACUGAAAGUUGUCAUACUGUUACAGCAUAAUGAAUAUUUCAUAAGGAUGUAAAACAUGCUUACGCAAUCCCUUCUGCAGAAUCAAUAGCGAUCUUCAUUCUUCGUUCCCAACCAAGAUGGCAUUCAGCUGCAUGCUGUCCAUGAAGGUGGGAGUGCAAGCUCAGGUUUGGCAUAUAAUCGUAGACUAUCAGGCGUUCUUGGCCUUCGGCACAAUAGCCACGUAAGCUCAACAGGCUCUUGUGUCUCACUGUCGCCAAAACCUCCACCUCAAUUGCAAAUUCAGUUUCAGCUUUGUUGCUCCAACUCUUGAGCCUUUUCACCGCAAUCUGUCCCAUGUAGUUAACAGAAGAAGCGUUAGGUUCUGGUUAAAGUGAACUACUUUUUCCUGAUUUUGGAUUAAACAGAUAGAAGGUAAAUAGUUCCAACAUAAUACUUAUGAUUUAUGAAAUGAUGUUCAAAAACAUACUUGUCAAAACGAUAGUUUGAAUUUGAUAUUGUAGGGGCUGUUCAGAUUGAUGCUAUUUUCAACCAUACCAUUUUUUGGUAAAGCUGCCAAAAAAAUGUCUAUGUUUAGUUUGUUGUCAAAUUUGGUAAAUACAUAAGAAAUCCUGCCAAAAUUUUAGCAAUAUUGUCAUCUUAAAUUUUGGCAACAUUGCCAUCUUGCUAAAAUUUUGGCUACAAUCUGAAUAGGCCCGUAUUUUUUUUUCAACCCAAAAUGAAACACAACUCACCGGGAUGUAGCAGUUUGGGGGUUAUAUCACCAUGCAACAAACUAACAAGUACCAAUGUAGAACAGUUUCAUCAUCUUCAUAAUAAAUGUGCAACUGUCUGAUGGAAUAAGUCUUACGCUGUUGGUCUUCUUGUGCUAAUUGGUCUUUGUGUUCUUUUUGCUUUUCAGUGCAUCUUUCUUUUAUGACAGCAUCUCCUUUCACUUUUACUUUUUAGAGUAGCAAGCCAGCUAUAAAUAUAUAUCCCAACCCCCCUCCCCUGCGUGAUGGUAUGGCACUUGUGAGAAAUAAACAGAAAAUUGCCCCAACUCUCCUUCUUGAGCUCCCCUCUGUCCUCAGUCGGCAGCAGGAACACCGGCUGUUCCUACUUAUCCCUCUUCCCCUGCGCUGACGAGCAGCAGCUCCUCAAAGGCAGUCUCUUCCCCACGCAGCAGCCCCUAGUGGCGUGCCAUGUCCGCAGGACAGUCUCAGCGCUUGGUCGCCUCGAGCGCGCGGCUCCGGCAGGAGGCCGAGUUCACCGCGGCAGAGGAACGCGAGCGAGUGGUGGUAGAGACCGCUGCGACGGCAGCGAGGGCGUCAAGGCUGGCGGCAGCAAAAUUGGCAACGGUAAGGGCGGAAGUGGAAGCGGCGGCGGCGGCGGCACGACAGUAGCACCAACAGCUCUAUCUCCGCCUACGGCAGCUCCGAUGAUGAGCUGACGAGGGAGGCAGCUCGUGAGCGGGCGGAGCAGUGGGCAGCUGCGCAACCCCACGCGCGCAAUGGCGGCAGCUUAGAUUGGCGGGGAUGCAUGUGGCGGCGGCGGCCCAGACGGGCGUGGACGCGGCGGCCCGGUUGGGUCGACGGAGAUCGCAGCCGUUGCAAGUGGCAUGGCUCUCCCUCACCGGACCGGUACCAUGGUCACCACAGGAUUUAGGCCGUCAUCAGGGAAGUCGGCCCUGGCGGUGUGUGGCCUAAACCCUACCCUCACCAAGACCAACUACGUCGAGUGGGCCGUGGUGAUGAGGAUAAGGCUCCAGGUGCGACACAUGUGGGAGCCAGUUCGGCACGGCGACGUCAACUACGACGAGGAUCAACGGGCGCCCAGAAGCGGACUGCCAAGGAGGCCUGGGACGCCAUCGCUGCGGCACGCAUCGGAAGCGACCGCGCUCGCAAGUCCACAUUGCAGGCACUUCGCAAGGAGUGGGAGAACCUGGCCUUCAAGCCAGGUGAGGAUGUUGAUGACUUUGCCCUCCGUCUCAACACUCUGCUGUAGAAGUUGGUGUCGUAUGGCGACGACACCUACGAUGAGGAGAGAGCCGUCAAGAAGCUCUUCCGCUGCAUCCCAGAGAAGUACAAGCAGAUUGCUCGCUCGAUCGAGUCUCUGUUGGACCUCUCCACGAUGUCGAUCGAGGAGGCGAUAGGUCGCCUCAAGGUCGUCGACAGCGACGAGCCACAGCCUCUCUCGAGGCUUAUCACCAUUGGCAGGAAGCUUCAUCUCACUCGAGAGCAGUGGGAGGCCUGCCAGGGUGACGGGAAGAAGAGGGAGUCCUCUUCCUCGACAGGCCGCAAGCGCGGCAAGGGACACGUCCUGCGAGGACGCACCCAGGGUGGCGCCCGCGGAGGCGCCUAAGCCGGCGCGAGAUGACGCCUGCCGCAACUAUGGCAAGUUUGGCCAUUGGGCCAAAGACUGCCGACAGCCACGACACGGCCAGGCCAACGUCGCACAGGUGGAGGAGGAGGAAGAGUCGGCUCUGCUCCUGGCACACGCAAGCAUCGAGCUAUCUCCAGCGGCACCGGCCGCAGCGGCUUUCCUCCAACUUGAUGAGCCGAAGGUACGCGCCUUCCUCGGAGAUGGCUCCAGCAACGACAAGACUGAUGAGUGGUACCUCGAUACCGGCGCCACCCAUCACAUGACUGACCGACGGGAGUUCUUCACCGAGCUUGACUCCAGCGUCUGAGGUUCCGUCAAGUUUGGGGGUCGGCUCCAUCACCUUCACCGCCAAAUCCCUGUGCUCACCGGAGUCUACUACAUCCCCGCUUUGAGGAACUCUAUCAUCAGCGUGGGACAGCUGGAUGAGAAAGAUUCAUGCUUGUUGGUCGAGCACGAAGUCAUGAGGAUUUGGGAUUGCCGUCGUUGCCUUCUUGCCAAGGUAACCUAAGGCACCAAUCGACUCUACGUCUUCAACGUGCAAGUGGCACAACCGGCCUGCCUCCACUUCGAGGCCCUGAAGCGGCUCAGUGCCAAGGAGAUGGUGCGAGGCCUGCCGUGCCUUGACCACGUGAAGCAGCUCUGCGACGUCUGCGUGUUAACAAAGCAGAGGCGGCUCCCCUUUCCCCAGCAGAUAAGCUUCCGAGCCAAGGAGCGGCUCGAGCUCGUGCACGGGGACUUGUGUGGCCCAGUGACACCGGCCACACCAGGAGGACGACGUUACUUCAUGCUGCUCGUCGACGACCUCUCCCGCUUCAUGUGGGUAAUGGUUCUCGGCAGCAAGGGAGAGGUUGCGGACGCCAUUAGGCGCGCGCAGGCUGCUGCGGAGGCGGACUGCGGCGGCGAAUUCACGGCGGCUGAAUUCGCAUCGUACUGCGCUGAUGAGUGCAUUCAGCACCACUACUUCGCGCCGUACAGCCCGCAGCAGUACGGCGUCGUCGAGCGGCACAACCAGACGGUUGUAGGGAUGGCUCGAGCACUCCUCAAGCAGAGGGGGAUGCCGGCCGUUUUCUGGGGAGAGGCGGUGGUGACGGCUGUCUACAUCCUCAACCGCUCGACUACCAAGGCCCGUACGAGGCUUGGCAUGGGCGCAAGCCGGCGGUCUCCCACCUGCAGUUUUUCGGCUGCCUCACGUUCACCAAGGAGAUCGGCCACAUCGGCAAGCUCGACGACAGGAGCACCCCAGGGGUGUUCAUCGGCUAAGCAGAGGGCUCGAAGGCCUACCGUAUUCUCGACCCAGAGACACAGCGUAUGCACACGGCGUGCGACGUAGUGUUCGACGAAAGACGAGGGUGGGCAUAGGACAAGGCGGUGGACGACGGCUCGACUCCAACGUACGACUUCACUGUUGAGUACGUCCACUUCGAGGGAGCUGGGGGAGUAGGUAGCUCUUAUUCACUGAGUGUGCCUACCUAGCCCCCGAGCCUCCACCGACUCCAGCAGCGACACGCUCUCGAGCUACGACUUCGGCUGCAAUGAGUUCUUCGCUGACACCAUCACAACCGGCGACCCCACGCACUCCAGCACCAACAGCCACCCCUCCGGGCACAUCCACUCCGACGCCAGGUUGUGUCAAGCACAGCCCGGUGGAGUUCGCUACUCCGCUCUCUCACGACGAGGAGCGCAUCGACGCAUACCACGACAGUGAGCCGCUGCGGUACCGUACGACGGGAGCCUCAGUCUUUCGCAGAGGCCGAGAGACACGCAGCAUGGCGUGCCGUGAUGUAGUCGGAGAUGGACGCGGUUGAGGAAAACCGCACCUGGGAGCUUGUUAACCUCCCUCGUGGUCACCGCGCGAUCACCCUUAAGUGGGUGUUCAAGCUGAAGAGGGAUGAAGCCGGAGCCAUCGUCAAGCACAAGGCUCGCUUGGUGGCACGCGGUUUCGUGCAGCAGGAGGGGAUGCCUUCGCCCCCGUGGUGCGAUCCCCGGCAAGGAGGGCAAGGUGCUCCUCCUUGCGCUGGCUGCUCAGGAAAGCUGGUGCGUUCAUCACAUGAACGUCAAGUCAGCGUUUCUGAACGACGACUUGAAGGAGGAGGUCUACGUACACCAGCCGCCAGGAUUUGCGAUCCCCGACAAGGAGGGCAAGGUGCUACUCCUGCACAUGGCUCUCUAUGGCUUGUGGCAGGCACCGAGGGCGUGGAAUACCAAGUUGGAUUCCACGCUCAAGGGGAUGGGCUUCGAGCAAAGCCCGCACGAGGUAGCCAUCAACCGGCUGGGCAAUGGAGGAAAUGUCCUGCUGGUGGGUGUCUACGUCGACAACUUGGUAAUUACCGGCACCAAGGAUGCGGAGGUGGCGGCGUUCAAGGAAGAGAUGAAGGCCACCUUCCAGAUGAGUGACCUAGGGCCUCUCUUCUUCUACCUAGGGAUCGAGGUGCACCAGGACGACUCCGGGAUCACGUUUCGAUAGACCGCCUACGCCAAGCGCAUCGUUGAGCUGGCUGGGCUCACCGAUUGCAACCCAGCUCUUACUCCGAUGGAGGAGAGACUGAAGCUGAGCCGCGACAGCAGGACAGAGGAGGUGGACUCUAUGCAGUAUGGGUGUCUUGUGGGGAGCCUUCGCUAGGCUCCCCACACACGGCCGAACUUGGCAUUCUCCAUCGGCUACGUUAGUCGGUUCAUGCAGCGACCGACGAUGGAGCACUAGCAGGCUGUGAAGAGGAUCAUCCGCUACGUUGCGGGGACUCUCGACCACGGUCUCUACUACCCGAGGUGUCCUAGAAAGGCACACUUCGUCGGGUAUAGCAACAGCGACCAUGCCGGUGACAUCGACAGCGACCACGCCGGCGACAUCGACACCAGCAAGAGCACAAGCGAGAUUCUCCUCUUCCUCGGCAAGUGCCUCGUUAACUGGCAUUCGGUCAAGCAGCAGGUGGUGACCCUGUCCAGCUACGAAGCGAGUACAUAGCGGCCUCCAGCGCUUCGACCCGCUCUGGCUUGCGCGACUGCUUGGUGAUCUCUUCGGCAGAGACACUGGAGCGGUGGAGCUUAGGGUGGACAGCAAGUUCGCUCUGGCCCUAGCAAAGAACCCCAUUUUUCACGAACGGAGCAAGCACAUCCGGGUGAGGUACCACUUCAUCCGAGGCUGUUUGGAGGAAGGAAGCAUCAAGGCGAGCUACAUCAACACCACACCAAGGACUAGCUUGCGGACCUGCUCACCAAGCCCCUUAGGAGGAUCAAGUUCCUUGAGCUUUGUUCUAGGAUCGGGAUGGCCCAACUUUCCCACAAGACGACGCACAAGACUUAGGAGGAGAAUGAUGAAAUAAGUCUUGCGUUGUUGGUCUUCUUGUGCUGAUUGGUUUUGUGUUCUUUUUGCUUUUCAGCUUUUAGGACAGGACUAGCAUCUUUCAGUUUGGGAUGCCUGUUAGGACAGCAUCUCCUUUCACUUUUUAGAUUAGCAAGCCAGCUGUAAAUAUGUAUCCCAACCCCCCGGAUGGUAUGGCAUUUGUGAGAAAUAAACAGAAAAUUGUCCCAACUCUCUUAGCGCCAUCCUCUCGAUAAGAGUAAGGAUUCUGUUACUAACACUAUCAUUAUAAUAGUAUUUAGUAUAUUUUUCUUUCAUGUGUUUAAUCACGUAAACAAGAUUAAUCCAUAAAAAAGACUAUAGCUAUCAAGUAUUUUACACGUUACAGGACAAAAUCUUGCCUCAUCUUUCACCCAAAUAUCACUAUCAGCAUGCUACUUAUUUUUUCUGGCUCCUAGUAGACUAGGUGGGACAAAUACACUGAAGAGAAGCACAAUAGUCAUCUGUCUUUGUGAAGACAAUGUGAUUUUCAAUAGCCUCAUAUUCCGGCUGUAUGCUUUCUUUUGUGUUCAUACCUUCCAAUUAUGAUUUUUUCUAGCUUGUAAUCAUGCAAUCCUUGACAAGACUAUUGGUAUAAGCGAAAAAAAUUGAUAACUGAAGCUAAGAAUAAGUCAGUUGUCUACUCAGACCAAAUCCCCAUUAGACACGGCCUUAAACCGCACGCAGGUCCAGUUUGGAUGGCCAUCAUGUUCAAAGAAUAUCUGAAGGUAGCUUUUAAAAAACGGCAACCAUUUUAUACUGCUAAUUAAUACCACUAGACUUUUUUUUUUCAAGACGACCUACACAAGACAAAAAAGUUUCUAUUGAUAUAGCAGGAAAAAAUUACAAGGUUACCACUAGACCAUGAACAACGCUAGAAGUGGAUGUCAGUUAAACAACAAUCAUCAACAUCACUGGGUCCCUCCAAUGCUUUGCCAUUUUUCUAAUCAAUUAGAAAAAAAAAAGAAGACAACAAACUAAAGUUUGUGCAGUGUGGACUGCAUGAUUCUCAGAUUUCUUCCUGUUCUUUUUUUCUUUUUCAAGAUUGAAAGAGGAACACCUCACCUGUGAUCCAUCCCAGAGCUGGCCCCAGUAGACGCUGCCAAACCCACCCUCACCAAGCUUGUUGUCAUAGUUGAAAUUGUUCGUCGCUGACUGUAGCUCCUUCAGCGAGAAGAUCCGCCAUGUCGUCUCCUU